rnacentral:tRNA from 1 species
UCCUGGUAAGCUCAGUUGGUAGAUUGUUCCACUGGAACUGGAGAGGUACCUGGUUCGAUACCAGGACCAGGCG